UAUAACUGUACCAUUGGCAGCACUGAGC
rnacentral:sRNA from 1 species